rnacentral:rRNA from 1 species
UAGGGAAUCUUGCACAAUGGGCGAAAGCCUGAUGCAGCAACGCCGCGUGAAGGAUGAAGGCCUUCGGGUUGUAAACUUCUGUUCUUAGGGAAGAAGAAAGUGACGGUACCUAAGGAGAAAGCCCCGGCUAACUACGUGCCAGCAGCCGCGGUAAUACGUAGGGGGCAAGCGUUAUCCGGAAUUAUUGGGCGUAAAGAGUGCGUAGGUGGUUAUCUAAGCGUAAGGUUUAAGCGUGCAGCUCAACUGCAUCUCGCCUUGCGAACUGGACUACUUGAGUGCAGGAGGGGAAAGCGGAAUUCCUAGUGUAGCGGUGAAAUGCGUAGAUAUUAGGAGGAACACCAGCGGCGAAGGCGGCUUUCUGGACUGUAACUGACACUGAGGCACGAAAGCGUGGGGAGCAAACAGG